rnacentral:pre_miRNA from 1 species
AACCUACUCACUCCGUCCAACAAAAGAUGUCUCAAGUUUGUUCAAAUUUAGAUGUAUCUAGACAUGACUUAGUGUAUAAAUGCAUUAAAACUCAUUCAAAGUUAAGACAUCAUUUGUUGGACGAAGGAAUUAUCAU